ensembl:lncRNA
ACGGGACAGUGGGCUUUGUUGCAGCUCUGCCGUGUGAUCGUGCACGCCAGCCGGGCCGGACUCCUUUUGGGUAUGUGCAGCCAGGCCGUAAUUGCCACCGUCCAGCUGGAGUCAUUACAGGCCAGAACCAGUGCCCUGUUGUCCGAAUCAAGGGGGGGUGAACGUCUAAUCCACCAAACAUCGCGCACGCACGCACGCACACACGCACACACGCGCACACGUACUGGACUCAGGAGAGGAGAAAAGGUGGUGGCGGUAAUGCCUUCAAGAGAUUCCUUUUUUUUUAAACCUGGAGACCAGUGGACAGAAAGGACACCAACCUUGUGCCAGACUGGGGCCCUCUUGUUAAAAAAAAGAAAGAAGAAGAGGAGGAAGAAGAAGAACAACAAGAAGAAGAACAAGAAAAAGCACACAUAACUGAGGCGAACUUUUGCAUCUUUACGAAAUGCACUUCCGCAACUGCCUGCGCCCAGGACACGCAGUCGGUCACCGAGAGAGUUUGUCUUCACUGACGACGAACAUUUAAGAAAAACAAAAGACUCGCCAACGAGACGAUAUUUAAAUGCACAUUAGCUUUGAAUGCACUGCUGUUCAUUACUUUGUUUAAGCUGUAAAUAUUUGUACAGUCGAAAACUUUACAAAGUGCAACGAAUGAAGAAAUGAGAAAAAUGCAUUUCUUGUAAAUAUACAAAAUGCACUCAAAUCGGUAUGAUUUCUAUUCUAUAAUUAUUUUAUUAUUUGUGAUGUACAGAGUUCCAUGAUAAUCAUAUAUUUCUUACAUUGAUAAGAAUAAUUUAAGGUGUAUUCGAUAUUUUUGCAGAGGAUGGAAAAUACCAUUAUUAAUGUCUACCUCAUAAUUGCAUAUAGGAUCUGAGUUUUGAGGUGCAUUCAGUUAGAGUGUAAAGAGCUUUUACAAUGAUAUAUAAGAUCAUUUAUACACAUAUAUUACUGAAUAAUAUUCCACACCAUUACUGUACAAAUAAAAUUCAAAACAAAGUCUGCAGCCUCUGAUGAUCCAUGCAGUUCUUUUUUCCGCAUUCAUUUCAUACAUUGAGUGCAGAAGUGCAGAGGCCGACCAGAAAGCACAGAAAUAUCUUUGUUUCUUUAUGAUGGAAAGAGGCCAAAAAGUUGUCUUUUUAUCAAUUGAUUUAUAAAUACAUCAUGUCGGUCAAAAUAAAAUAAAC